rnacentral:rRNA from 1 species
CCUACGGGUGGCAGCAGUGGGGAAUAUUGGACAAUGGGCGAAAGCCUGAUCCAGCCAUGCCGCGUGUGUGAAGAAGGCCUUCGGGUUGUAAAGCACUUUCAGUGGGGAAGAAAGCCUUGGGGCUAAUACCCUCGAGGAAGGACAUCACCCACAGAAGAAGCACCGGCUAACUCCGUGCCAGCAGCCGCGGUAAUACGGAGGGUGCGAGCGUUAAUCGGAAUUACUGGGCGUAAAGCGCGCGUAGGCGGUCUGAUAAGCCGGUUGUGAAAGCCCCGGGCUCAACCUGGGAACGGCAUCCGGAACUGUCAGGCUAGAGUGCAGGAGAGGAAGGUAGAAUUCCCGGUGUAGCGGUGAAAUGCGUAGAGAUCGGGAGGAAUACCAGUGGCGAAGGCGGCCUUCUGGACUGACACUGACGCUGGGGUGCGAAAGCGUGGGUAGCAAACAGGAUUAGAUACCCUAGUAGUC